AAAAAUAAGAAAUAGACAUUGCAGCCUGGUUUUGGCUUCAGUGGGGAUCCCAUCAUUACAACUCAUGCAAGCAAGUUAAUGCUGUUGAAAUCAAAUUCACACCAUCCAGAAUAUUACAUACUAGCAAGUAACAGAAGUUGCAGUUUGUCUCUUUCCUCAUCAAAAGUGAAGUUGAAGGUAUAUGCUGAUCGAGCUUCAUGAGGAAGAAGCAGUCGAACUGACGUUCCAUAAUUAAAAGCAACUUCUUCAAAUGCAAGCAACUAAUGCAACAGUGACGAUAAUUGACAACUAUGUAUGGACCCCCAGCGGAUAUAUCACUCUUUUAGGCGGAAAUAGG